rnacentral:misc_RNA from 1 species
UCUCCGUUGGUGAACCAGCGGAGGGAUCAUUACCGAGUUUACAACUCCCAAACCCCAUGUGAACAUACCUGUUUCGUUCCCUCGGCGGUGUCCGGCAACGGCCCGCCAGAGGACCCAACAAACUCUUUUGAAUUUUUCAGUAUCUUCUGAGUGAGAAAAACAAUAAAUCAAAACUUUCAACAACGGAUCUCUUGGUUCUG